UUAUGAGAGAGCAUCCUCAACUUGACGAAGAAGUCAAAUCGGGUUCUUUUUUUCAGCAAAACUCCGAUCUUCACCAAAUAUCGAUAAUUCUCUGGUGUUGGAAUUGAAUUUGUGACGAUGUCUAAGGAGAACGAACCAGCAAAGCUCUUAUUGCCUUACCUUCAACGUGCUGAUGAGCUGCAGAAGCACGAACCCCUUGUUGCCUAUUACUGUCGAUUGUACGCGAUGGAACGAGGAUUGAAGAUUCCUCAAAGUGAUCGUACUAAGACCACUGGUGCCCUCCUUGUGUCCCUUAUGAAACAGCUUGAAAAGGAUAAGAUGUCGUUGAAAUUGGGGCCUGAUGAUCAUCUGCAUUUGGAGGGAUUUGCCUUGAAUGUUUUUGCAAAGGCAGACAAACAAGAUCGAGCUGGACGAGCAGACUUGAAUACAGCAAAGACGUUUUAUGCAGCAAGUAUCUUUUUUGAGAUCCUCAAUCAGUUUGGUGAACUCCAGCCUGAUCUUGAGCAGAAACAGAAGUAUGCAGUUUGGAAGGCAGCAGAUAUAAGGAAAGCUAUAAAAGAAGGACGGAAGCCUGUUCCAGGCCCUCCUGGUGGUGAAAGUGAUGUUUCGGAGCUGUCCAGUGCACCAAGUGGUGAAUACGAUGUUGAACCUAGUGGAGCUAAUCCAGCCAUCAAACCCGCUCCAGAAUCAGAUUCCUCCCCUCGAUUAUAUGACAACGUACAGUAUAGUGCAAAUAGUCAGUCACCUCCGCCAUCUAUCCCACCACCACCUCCUUCACAUGCUCCUCUGUCUCAUCCUUCAUAUUCUAGUGGUGAUUAUCCUUCUAAUGAAGAUCAUUCUUCUCAUAAUUUCCCGCAACCUCCGCCAGCUAGCAGACACGAAAAUUCUUCUUACUCUCAGUUGUAUCAGCAUCAACCUUACUUGCAACAAUCCCAAUCGCACUUGCCACAGCACUACCCUUCUCAAGACAUUCCCUCUUCAUAUCCCAAUUUCCAGUCGUAUCCUAGCUUUACAGAGAGCAGCCUACCUGCUGCACCAUCACAUCCCCCUUCUUACUAUCAAGGGUCUGAUACUUCCUAUUCCACUAUGCCACCAUCUAGCCUGGCUAAUUAUCCAUCAAACAGCCAAUACAACUCAAGUGGUAGAAAUGGGAAUGCAGCGGAGCCUACCGCUAUUCCUACUAAAACAUAUCAAUACGACAGCAGUUACCAACCUCCACCAGAUAAGAUUGCUGAAGCACACAAGGCCGCAAGGUUUGCUGUCGGGGCUUUGGCAUUUGAUGAUGUUUCUAUUGCUGUAGACUACCUCAAAAAAUCACUUGAAUUGUUGACAAACCCAUCGGCUGGUCAAUGAAGUGCAUCCUGCCACAGCUGGAUUGUUUGAGCUCUGUGCUUCUCUUUUGGGUUUGUUCACUCUUACUGUUUUGUUUGUGGAGAUGGUUUGAUUAACUGUUUGUACCAUUGUUCAAACUGAAUUACGACGAUGUUCACAGAUGCAUCCUCCGAGUCCCAUCAUCUUGAGCCCGAGAACCAUAAGGAACUUUGAAAUUGAGGAUGUUGGCCCUUCACCUAUUGUAAAUUUGCAGCCCUUUUUCCUAUUUGGAGUAUUGAAAAUGGGUCACUAAGACUUUUGCAUUGUACUACUUCUGAAACAAACUUUGCGCCUAUAGUUUUCCUCUGA